GCAUCGAUGAAGAACGCAGCGAAAUGCGAUAAGUAAUGUGAAUUGCAGAAUUCCGUGAAUCAUCGAAUCUUUGAACGCACAUUGCGCCCUCUGGUAUUCCGGGGGGCAUGCCUGUCCGAGCGUCAUUGCAACCCUCAAGCCCGGCUUGUGUGUUGGGCCCUCGUCCCCCGUGGACGUGCCCGAAAUGCAGUGGCGGCGUCGUGUUCCGGUGCCCGAGCGUAUGGGGCUUUGUCACCCGCUCUUGGAGGCCCGGCCGGCGCUGGCCGAUCAACUUCUAGGCCUCGUGCCUUAACCAGGUUGACCUCGGAUCAGGUAGGGAUACCCGCUGAACUUAAGCAUAUCAAUAAGCGGAGGA
rnacentral:misc_RNA from 1 species